GCAGGCGGAGCUCCUUAGCACUGAACAGCCUCCGGGCCUGGCUCCUUCCGCGCUGCCCGAGACGAGCUCACAAACCGGCCCACGAGAACCUGACAGCAGUGACUGCGACGCCUUUCUUAUGGAAUUACAUGGGAAUCUCUUAUUGUAAUGCAUGAACAGACACGGCUUUAAGAACGACAAAACUUCUUGAAAUGCAAAACAGCGAUGAAAAUGCAAGUCUCAGAUUUACUGACAUACAAGAA
rnacentral:lncRNA from 1 species